UGUAUAUGUGCCCACUGAGUACUACUUGCUGCCCAACAAGGUGUAAUUCACAACUUACUUGAAAAGCAGAGCUCCUUGUGACCCUGGGGGAGAGGCAUGUCUGAGAAAGCUUUUCUGAAUAUUCCUUCAGUGAAACAUCCUUUAAGGUAUAGUAUAUUAAGAAUAUCCUACAAGAAACAUGAAUAGAGAAAAAAGAGGAACUGUUACUUUAUUAAGGACAAGUCACAGAAAAGGGGUUUGCAGGGAAUGGGAGAGAGCAUGGCUGGAGUGCACUGCCCUGUAGUGAUCAUCAACCAGAAUUACCACACUUCGGGAAAAGAUUUGAACUGGCAGAGAUUACGGAAUCCCAGAGGCUGUUCCAUGUUUUGCUGGGAAGAUUGGUUCCCUUUCUCCCGCUACCUGGAACUCGAGCAAAGGUGAAGCUAUGGCUUUGUAUCUUUCCUCUAAUGAAAUAAAAGUCAACAUGUGUGCAUCUCUGCUGGUCCACUUUUUAGGAAGAGAAGCUGCCUUGUGACAUGGGGAGGGCCAGAGCAGAUGAUCUCAUGGACCCAUUGGACAAAGUAUUGCCUACAAACUCUGGAGACUGGACUUGAUGGCCCAGGAGGCUUUUUCUAGACCUAUGUUGCAUAUGUUGUGUUUGGUACCAGAUGUGAUAUAACUGAAAAUAGACAAUGAUAAUAUAUGGUAUAAAAAUAAUUGCUAUUGGCAAUGCUUUGAGGCCAUUUUCUGGUUCAUUAACUCUUGACUGAGGUUACUAAUCAGAUCACAAUGUUUGCUUUUUCAGAACCUCUCUCCUCUCCAACUUUCUUUUAAAGAUUUGUUUUGGCUUUACCUUUUCUCUCAUUUGUAAGAUGAUUAAGAUGUUACUUUGGGAAUGUUUCUCUCUGAAAACAAUUGCAGUGUGUGGUCUUUCAGUCACAAACCACGCCUUAUUUGGUACUGACUUCAAGACUCCCCAUAAUUAUCUCAGAAAGAGUCUUUUCCAAUGCACUGAGAUUUCUGUGAGAUAUCUCAUGGAGUCAUGCUACUUUUAAACAAGGCAAGAAAGAGCUCUGCUACAAAGAUGUUUGUUCAAAACUCCACUGAGUAACCUGCAUGGUCUAAAAAACAUGUAAUAACAUUUAUGCAAAGCAAAUGUGAGACUCAGUUGCAACAUUGCACCCUAAUGUAAUUUGUGCAACAGUGUGGUCUGCUUGUAACUUGUGCAAUUUCACUGAAGAAGAGUGUUCACAUUAUAUGCAUUAUUCUGUAAUACACUAUGUCAAGGCUGAAUUACUCUUACAUUUAUAAGGUAUGCAUUCUCCAGUUAAACAGGUAACAAUGUGUCUCAUGCACCUAGAUUUAUUAUUGCAUCUUUCACUAAUUCCAAGUAUGCAUCUGCUGACCAUAAUGGCCUGGAAUUACUGUCAAAGUCAAACCACCUAACAGGCUGGCACAGUUAAGGCACCCAAGGCAUGUGGUGAUAAGCAUCACAUCCAACUGCCUCUGGCUCCCCAAGCUAAAUUAGCAGCUAUCUAUUUAUAGCUUUGUGAACUGGAGGUGUCUUGCAGCCUGAGGGCCUCAGACUCAUGCCUCUUAAGCCACAGGAAGCUUUCUUACCGCAUCAACUAAUGCUUUUGCUAAAUUAUUCACUUAGACAUGGCACAUCUUUGUGACUGACUAUUGCCGGUGUUGUUUUAAUUUAGCUGGUGAAUGAUAAAUUGCACUUGACCUUGGCUUUGAGAGACAUCUAUUACAUUCUGAAAGCUCUCCCUUUCACCAGUUUUACUUCUUGCCAUGCAGCCCCUCUGCUUAUGGCCAGAAGCACGUGUUACCAUCAUGGGAGGAUCUAGAAUUUUGACAAGAGGGGUGCACAGGGUGAGGUGCAUCAUCAUGUAUAAAACAACACAUAUUUUUCUCUAGUUAAAAAUAACUAGAAGCUUUAUUAAUAUUCUGGGGGCCUACGGCUGUAUGAUUCAGUUUAAGACUGAAGUAAAACAAAUAUAACUUAAUUGGAAUGAGUUAAAAAUAAUCUGCAGGGCUGUGAAAGAGGAGCUUCAUUACCAUGAGCACCUAACAGACAGCAGAAUUACAAAAGAAAGGGUAGCUUGAUUGGUGGACUAUCAAGACCAUUAAAAGGAAGAGAGGAUUGUUAACACCUAUGGAAUAAAAAGUUUAGAAGGGUUUAGGUAGAUGAUAAUGAGUCAUGAAGUAAAAUAACUCCCUCACUGCUGCCACUGCCAGGCAGUUGGUUUUAAACUUUGGGUGGAGCAGGAAUCAAAGGGGUGCAGGUGCCUCAGUGCACCCUCCCUCAAUUGUGACAAGUAAACUUGUCACAAUUGUUAGAUUGACAUGAAUACAUAAAGCAGAUAACAUUUCAGUGAUAAAUUCGGUAGGAUUUUUCCUUCAGGUCUAUUAGAGAUGAAACAAGCAGGUUUCUCUAGAAAUCAAAUAGAAUUACUCUAAAAAACCCACCAUGUUCAGUAGAGAAUAAACUCCUUUUUAUAGAAUUUUAAACAGUCCUGUAGAAUCUCACAGACAAUAAUAAACUUGAUGGAAAAUGCUAUAGUCAGUUCAAUAUACUGUAGUAAGUUAUUGUUCCUUUAGACAGUUCCAUAAAAGUAGCAAACCUAGUGUGGAUGUCUUUUAAUAUAUUACAGUCACUUCAGUACAGACAUACCCUUCAAAUCAUACCAGAACAGCUAAAUAAAAGCAGUCCAGUUUUCAGAAGUGUUGAGUAGCUGCGGUAAAAUAAAUGGGAGUUGUAGCUGCUUAGUAUCUUCUCAAACAAAGCCACUUUAUAGGAUAAUGUUAGUGCCUAACUUUGGACACCUCUGUUUGCACAUGUUUUGCUUAUAACUUUUGCUAUUGUUGUGCCCAAUCCUGAAAUCCUUUGCCCUUAACCAAACAAUAUCACCUGGCUAGCAUUUUGUGAUCUGACUGUUCUUCUUGACUGGAAUUUGGAGUGUGCAGGAGUUUAGUUAUAAUUUCAGUAGCCUGUAAGAUUAAUGAAAGCCCAUGCAACGUAAGGUGUUGGUAGUUUAGUUUGCACUUCAUCUCCAAUAUGCUAAAUCAUGUUGGGGUAGUUGAACCCCCCCCCAUCAAUGUGAACCUGAUUGCUUAAGUUCCUAUUCAGAAAUAAUCCUCCAAAAAGGAAAUUAGUCACUCACUAGUUUUCAUCUCUUCCUUCUCAUUUUUAAUCUUUAAUAUUGUUUAGCAGACUUCAGUUUUAGUUCCUUAAAAUUGAACAUAUUUAGUUCUCUUUUCCUUUAAUUUAUGUGUUUACUAUAAGAUACCAUUAACUGUAUGAAGGCUCAAAGUUCAUAUUUUCCCGCCAAAAAUCCUCAGAGUAGGUUCCUCUUCUUUUUUGUUGUCCUUGUAGAUAUGUCAGAAGAGAGAAGUAACAGUGUUGGCCUGAUUCUUCCCUACCUUGACCUUUUGCAGUCGUUCCUAUUUGGCAAAAAAAUAUGAUCAUUAUGUUUUAGGUAGUGUUUUAUGCCCAGGAAAAAUGGCGACAAUAGGUGCAGGAAGAAUCAUGAUCUUAGUGUUAGAUUAUGCUCUCAUAACAGGGCCUACAUGAAAAAGUUCUACUGCUUUGAAAUAUUCCACCAUUUUCAAUGAUAUUUGCUGUCUAUGUGGAAUUUCUAUUAGAAAAGGUAGAAUUUUUCAAAAUGAUGCCUGCCUCUGACAGUGCCACUGGCUGUAACCAAUGAGUCUCUGUAUCACAUUG